AAACAGAGAAGUGCCUCGCAAGAGGAAUUCGGAGACAGGUGCUGCAUGGCUGUCGUCAGCUCGUGUCGUGAGAUGUUGGGUUAAGUCCCGCAACGAGCGCAACCCUUGUCUUUAGUUGCCAUCAUUAAGUUGGGCACUCUAAAGAGACUGCCGGUGUCAAACCGGAGGAAGGUGGGGAUGACGUCAAGUCCUCAUGGCCUUUAUGACCAGGGCUACACACGUACUACAAUGGCCGGUACAAAGGGCAGCCACUUAGCGAUAAGGAGCCAAUCCCGUAAAGCCGGUCUCAGUCCGGAUUGGAGUCUGCAACUCGACUCUAUGAAGUUGGAAUCGCUAGUAAUCGCAGAUCAGCACGCUGCGGUGAAUACGUUCCCGGGCCUU
rnacentral:rRNA from 1 species